rnacentral:misc_RNA from 1 species
GAAAGCUGAGCUUCAUAAAGCAAGGUCAAAACUUGCAGCAGCAGAGGCAGCUGAAACAAGACUUGGUAAUGUUAAAUCAGGGUUAUAUCUUGCAGUUCAGCAGCUAGCCAUCGAAGCAGAAGAAGUGAAGAAGGAAAAUGAAAGGUUAAAACAAGGAGCAGAUAUGGCUGCAGAAUCCGCUGACCUUGGCCUGGGACAUGAGAACUCUUCUCAGGCAGAAGAAGUUAUUCAGGCAAAUGAAUCAGGAGCAGAAGCUGGAAGGAGAAGAGGUGAGAAUGAUCAUAACAUAACAAUUUCACUAGAACAAUACGAGUCCUUGAUAAGCAAAGCUGAAAAGGUCAACCCAUCUGGAAAAGAAGACUCAAAUAGGUUAACUACAUCUGAGAACAGCAAAGAAUUGGAGACGUUGAAGAAGGAAUUGGAAGUUGCAAGUGCGAAAGUUGCAGAGUUCAGGACUCGUACAGAACAGGCUAUUACGAGGGCAGAAGCAGCAGAGAAAGCUAAAUUAGCAGUUGAAGGUCAGCUAAGGAAAUGGCGAGAACAGAAGCAGAGGAGAAAGGCUGCAUUAGCUGCACUUCGGGAGGAAUCAUUAUCCAGGGAGUUUGGUUCUUCCUCAUAUGACAACACAGUGAACAC